rnacentral:rRNA from 1 species
UGCGUGAACCGCUCAGAGGUAAACAGGUGGAGUUGAACUGUAAGCUCCGAGGAUUCAGCUAGUGAGUGUGUCGUGGGCUUGGCCAUUUUCGGCCGGCCUCUGGAGUCCGCUUAGCUGCGGGUCCUUGCUCUUUCGGGAGUAGGGAUGUGCGUUGCGCUUGUCAAGUGCUGUGCGCUCUGGAGGUUGCCGGGCUGGCUCGCUAGUGCACUUUCUCGGAGUGGUCACCACGACCGGCGUUGUUGCCUUACUGCUGUAGUCAAACCGGUUAGGUUUGGUCCUUGUGGCUGAAUUUGAUCGGGAUGGCAGGUAGCUCAUUGGUUGGCUUGCCAGCCUUUGGGUGUAAUAGCUGGCUGCAGUAGUUUUGUGCAAUACGUUGGGGACGGCGGCUUUAGGUAUGUGCUUAUGUGCCGUGAGCUGGCAGUGUCGAGUUUGACUGG